AACGAACGCUGGCGGCAGGCUUAACACAUGCAAGUCGAACGCCCCGCAAGGGGAGUGGCAGACGGGUGAGUAACGCGUGGGAAUCUACCUAGUUCUACGGAACAACUGAGGGAAACUUCAGCUAAUACCGUAUACGCCCUACGGGGGAAAGAUUUAUCGGAAUUAGAUGAACCCGCGUAAGAUUAGCUAGUUGGUGGGGUAAUGGCCUACCAAGGCGACGAUCUUUAGCUGGUCUGAGAGGAUGAUCAGCCACACUGGGACUGAGACACGGCCCAGACUCCUACGGGAGGCAGCAGUGGGGAAUAUUGGACAAUGGGCGCAAGCCUGAUCCAGCCAUGCCGCGUGAGUGAUGAAGGCCUUAGGGUUGUAAAGCUCUUUCAGUGGGGAAGAUAAUGACGGUACCCACAGAAGAAGCCCCGGCUAACUUCGUGCCAGCCGCCGCGGUAAAAC
rnacentral:rRNA from 1 species